GGCGGACGUGGCCAAGUGGAUUAAGGCAGUGGAUUG
rnacentral:tRNA from 4 species